rnacentral:rRNA from 1 species
UUAUCUUAGUGGCGGACGGGUGAGUAACGCGUGGGUAACCUGCCUUACACUGGGGGAUAACACUUAGAAAUAGGUGCUAAUACCGCAUAACAGGAGAAGACGCAUGUCUUUUCCUUGAAAACUCCGGUGGUGUAAGAUGGACCCGCGUCUGAUUAGCUGGUUGGCGGGGUAACGGCCCACCAAGGCGACGAUCAGUAGCCGGCCUGAGAGGGUGAACGGCCACAUUGGGACUGAGACACGGCCCAAACUCCUACGGGAGGCAGCAG